rnacentral:rRNA from 1 species
GAAAUAUAUUUAUUAAAAAAAAUAAUAAUUGUUUAGGAAAUAAGUUAAAAGAAAGUGGGUAUGAUGGAAAUUAUUUUAUUAGUUCAUUUUAUUAGUGAAUGUCAUUAGUUAUUUUUUUAUUACAGGGUAAAUUUUUGUGCCAGCACUUGCGGUUAGACAUUAUGUAACAUUUAUUUAUGUUAGAAUUUAUUUUAAAGGGUAUAUAAGAGUACUAUUUAUUUGGUGAAAUAGGUUAGAUGUUAUUAUUAGUAUAGUUUAUAUAAAAAAAGCUAGUAAAUUAAUAGGAUUAGAUACCCUAAAUAAUUAGUAAAGAAGGGUUUCUAAGGAAUAGAGAUAAAAUUAAAAUAUUUGGCGGCUAUUAUUAAAUUAAAGGGAUUUGUUUAUAUCGAUAUAUCUCGUUAAGGUUACUUAAGUUUUUUAUGUAUAUCGUCAUCUAUAUAAUUUUGAUAUAGUUAAUUAUAGAUUAUAUUUAAAUAAGGUUAGAUCGAGGUGCAGAAAUAGUUAAGGUUAAAAUUAAUCACAAUAACUGAGGGUUAUACAGGAUUUAUCUAGAUUUACUGAACAGGUGGAUUUAAUUGUAAUUUCAGGAGGUUGAAUUAGCUGAUUUAGUGUACAAAUCGCCCGUCAGUCUCAUGUAGAGAUAAGUCGAAACAAAGUAGACGUACCGGAAGGUGUGUCUAGGUACUAAUUAAGACUAUUCUUUU